GCUUACACAUGCAGUCGAGCGGAUGACGGGAGCUUGCUCCUUGAUUCAGCGGCGGACGGGUGAGUAAUGCCUAAGAAUCUGCCUGGUAGUGGGGGACAACGUUUCGAAAGGAACGCUAAUACCGCAUACGUCCUACAGGAGAAAGCAGGGGACCUUCGGGCCUUGCGCUAUCAGAUGAGCCUAGGUCAGAUUAUCUAGUUGGUGGGGUAAUGGCUCACCAACGCGACUAUCCGUAACUGGUCUGAGAGGAUGAUCAGUCACACUGGAACUGACACACGGUCCACACUCCUACGGGAGGCAGCAGUGGGGAAUAUUGGACAAUGGGCGAAAGCCUGAUCCAGCCAUGCCGCGUGUGUGAAGAAGGUCUUCGGAUUGUAAAGCACUUUAAGUUGGGAGGAAGGGCAGUAAGCUAAUACCUUGCUGUUUUGACGUUACCGACAGAAUAAGCACCGGCUAACUCUGUGCCAGCAGCCGCGGUAAUACAGAGGGUGCAAGCGUUAAUCGGAAUUACUGGGCGUAAAGCGCGCGUAGGUGGUUUGUUAAGUUGGAUGUGAAAGCCCCGGGCUCAACCUGGGAACUGCAUCCGAAACUGGCAAGCUAGAGUACGGUAGAGGGUGGUGGAAUUUCCUGUGUAGCGGUGAAAUGCGUAGAUAUAGGAAGGAACACCAGUGGCGAAGGCGACCCCCUGGACUGAUACUGACACUGAUGUGCGAAAGCGUGGGGAGCAAACAGGAUUAUAUACCCUGGUACUCCACCCCGUAAACGAUGUCUACUAGCCGUUGGAAUCCUUGAGACUUUAG
rnacentral:rRNA from 1 species